rnacentral:lncRNA from 1 species
UUGAGUCAGGCUUUGGCCAACAAGGAGGCAAAGAAGAAGAUGAGUAGUAGUAAUGCUAAAGCCUUAAAUUCGAUGAAACAGAAAUUGAAAAAGAAUAACAAGCAGUAUGAGGAGUUGAUUAACAAGUACAGGGAAAAUCCUCCCGAGAGUGAGGAUGAGGCUGGUGAUGAUGAAGAGUCGGAAGAGGAAGAAGAGGAUGAUGAAGAGGAGUUUGAGGAGGACCCAACAAAGAUUGCAGCUGCAUCUGAUGAGGAAGAUGACGAAGAUGAAAGUCGGGAUGAGACAGCUGAGAGUGGUACCGGGUGGGAGAAGAUGCUGAGCAAGAAAGAAAAACUUUUGGAUAAACAGUUCAAGGAUCCAAGUCAAAUCACGUGGGAGACAGUCAACAAGAAGUUCAAGGAAAUUGUUGCCGCUAGGGGUAGAAAGGGGACUGGAAAGAUUGAAUUGGUUGAACAGCUCACCUUCUUGACCAAGGUGGCCAAGACUCCAGCACAAAAGCUUGAAAUUCUGUUUAGUGUUGUGUCUGCGCAGUUUGAUGUUAAUCCAAGUCUCAAUGGACACAUGCCUUUUUAGUGUUGUUUCUGCGCAGUUUGAUGUUAAUCCAAGUCUCAGUGGACACAUGCCUAUAAAUGUGUGGAAAAAGUGCGUGCAGAAUAUGCUUACCAUCCUCGACGUUUUGACCCAAUACCCAAACAUUGUGGUUG